UACGUAGGGACCAAGCGUUGUUCGGAUUUACUGGGCGUAAAGGGCGCGUAGGCGGUGCGGUAAGUCACUUGUGAAAUCUCUGAGCUUAACUCAGAACGGCCAAGUGAUACUGCAGUACUAGAGUGCAGAAGGGGCAAUCAGAAUUCUUGGUGUAGCGGUGAAAUGCGUAGAUAUCAAGAGGAAUACCUGAGGUGAAGACGGGUUGCUAGGCUGACACUGACGCUGAGGCGCGAAAGCUAGGGGAGCAAACGGGAUUAGAAACCCUAGUAGUCC
rnacentral:rRNA from 1 species